rnacentral:rRNA from 1 species
AGUGAACGCUGGCGGUAGGCCUAACACAUGCAAGUCGAACGGCAGCACAGUACUAGCUUGCUCUUACCGGUGGCGAGUGGCGGACGGGUGAGGAAUCUAUCGGACUCUACUUUUUCGUGGAGGAUAACGAAGGGAAACUUACGCUAAUACCGCAUCCGACCUACGGUUGAAAGCAGGGGAUCUUCGGAGCUUGCGCGUAUGAAUGAGCCGAUGUCGGAUUAGCUAGUUGGCGGGGUCAAGGCCCACCCAGGCGACGAUACGUAGCUGGUAGGAGAGGAUGCUCAGCCACACUGGAACGGAGACACCGUCCAGACGACUACGUGACGCAGCAGUGGGGAAAGUUAGGCAAUGGGAGCAAGCCUGCUCCAGUCAUACCGAGUGAGUGAAAAAAGCCUUCGGAUCGUAAAGCCGUUUUGUUGGUAGUGAAAAGCAGCAGGCUAUGACCCCGCUGUACUGACGGUACCAAGAAAAUAAGCAACGGCUAACUUCGUG